rnacentral:rRNA from 1 species
GAUGAACGCUGGCGGCGUGCUUAAUACAUGCAAGUCGAACGGAGAUUGCAGUGAUGUAAUCUUAGUGGCGAACGGGUGAGUAACGCGUUGGCGACCUGCCCCGAAGUAAGGGAUAACAGAUCGAAAGGUCUGCUAAUACCGGAUAAGCUUACCGAGGUUAGAGGCUUGGUAAGGAAGGGAGAAAUCCGCUUUGGGAGGGGCCUGCGUCCCAUCAGCUAGUUGGUAGGGUAAAGGCCUACCAAGGCGACGACGGGUAGGGGGCCUGAGAGGGUGAUCCCCCACACUGGCACUGAAACACGGGCCAGACACCUACGGGUGGCAGCAGUAGGGAAUAUUGGGCAAUGGGCGAAAGCCUGACCCAGCAACGCCGCGUGCGCGAUGAAGGCCUUCGGGUCGUAAAGCGCUUUUCGGGGAGAAGAGGAAGGACGGUAUCCCCGGAAUAAGGAUCGGCUAACUACGUGCCAGCAGCCGCCGUAA